UGCGGACCGCUUGAGUUGUGCAGCAUCC
rnacentral:sRNA from 1 species